CAAGUUGGAGCUUGGUUAGUAAAGCAUUUCGUUUACAUUGAGAAGUUUAUCGUGCAAUUCGAUUCAAUUUGA
rnacentral:tRNA from 1 species